rnacentral:lncRNA from 7 species
AGCCUACAGAUGACUUCUGAGACACGCUUUGGAAAAUUCCUGAAGCUUCUGCACAUAUCUGGAGUUUUGCCAAACUGCUCCAGAACGCAGCUGGAUCUGGUCCCAAGCACUUCCAGCCCAGCAACUGGCAAAUAGAUAGUAAUGAGAAUGCUUCUAAAACCUGGCGAUUGCGUUCAAAGACAGCAGCAAGGUGUUUUACCAACUGAGCUGCCAAAAGGGUUGGUCACAAACCUGAGCUCCCCAGCUCUUCUGUUCGGGAUCCGUACUUUGAGAUUGCAGCUGAUCUGGCUGAAGGGAGCUUGGAACUACAUCAGUUCCACAGUGCUAAGAAGGUUUUUCCUUUUUGCUUCACUCCUUUGCGCUGCCACAUGGCAGCAGUUUAAUGACCAGGCAGUGCCACCCUCAUUAGGCUGGAUUUGUCCCCGUUCCUGACAUGGCAUGAAGGAAAUAGCACUCUUCCAGCACUGACAGCUUUUUGUACCCUCUUUGCAUAAGCUCAGCCAUUAUACCAUGUAAGCAGCAGGUGGAUUAAUUUGGAAUAAGGACAGUCUUUGUUGUUUUUAACAGGGCUACAGCUGACCCAAACCCUACCAGCCCUAACUGUGACCCGCUUUUCCCAUCCACACAAUUAAGAACCCCUCUUCUCAUUAAGUGGGUCUGCCAGGGAGCAAGGCCGGGUAGGACAGCCCUACGCAGUGUGCCAGGACAACCCAGGGCUGCCAGCUGGCUCUGGGCUGGAUGGCAACGAGAUGGAGCACGGGGAAAGUAGCAUGGCAGAAAAUAGCACUACUAAAUUCGUCCUGCAGCAAAACUGCUGUCCUCUCUUGGUACAGAUUGAUUUCAGUGUGAUUGUUUCAGCUGCUUUUUGGCAGCUGAUCCCCAGUCCUCUGUAACUUCUCCCUGCAGCUCCAAAUCCUACUGCAUAUAUAUUUACCAGGCAGGUCAGAAUCCAACAGGCAGAUUGCUGCUCUGUGUGCUGUUUCUCAUUUCAAACCAUGCCUGGAUGGCAGCGAUGAAUCCUGGCUGGCAUCUCUGCACCUCGGUCACCAACCCACCACUGCAAAUGCUGUGCUGUUGAAGGCUGGGGACCUGUAUGCUGCUUCUGGGCUAUGCAAGCUACUUUUCAGCCCAAAUAGGAUCAGAAGGACUCAGUUCAGCCUCCUCUCCCUUCCCCCAGCAUAAGCUUGGCCCCACCAGGCUGCAGACUCCUUAGCAUGAAGGAAUUCGCCUGCACGCUUUGCCUUCGAUACAUUCAGAAACAGAAAGUAAAUGCAGUGUGGAAAAUGCCAAUUUUAAAGGACCUGGAUUUAACACAAUUCUUUGUACUAUCUACAAUUCAGCGUUAUUUGUUUUCCUAAGCUGAACGUGGAUUCUCAGACUGCAGAGUACUGCCAAUAAAUCUCAGCAUUAGGGAUAUCAUGGGUCUAACAGUUUUCCCCAUGAACUGAGCCUGCAGGCAGUAGUUUUGGGGUCACUGCAAUGAAUUCUGCCACGGCCAGCACAGACCAAGACAGGGCACUACCCAGGAGUGGCAGCUGCUCACAGAAAUGGGUUGACCAGUCCUCCCUCCAUGUCUUGCUGAACAGAUUGGUGCGUUGCAAAAGCAAACGCCUCCACUGUAAGCAGCUCCCUGACCGCCAGACUGUGCAGAAGACUUCACAGUGGGUGCACACACCUUCAGAGAAGACUAUUUCCAGCUGGCCAUAGGUUUUGUGAGAUGUUUUGCAAUCCUCGUUUUGUUUUUACAAAGAAAAUGCUCAGGGCUGAAAGGAAUGUUACCGCGGUACUGGAAAAUCUCAUCUGGGUUGGAAAGCGAACAGAGGCUGACCAGAUGUUCUGCUCUGCUUACUAAUGGACUAAGAAACAAAGAAGAUCACACUGCCAGAGGCUUUCAGUUUUGAUGAUUAAUUUGUUAAAAUUCUGAAAUCAUUUUCCUGAAUCACCAGCCAUGUUUCUCAGUUCCCCGUACACCUCUUUAGCAGCUAAAACCAUCUUUUCCUCCCUAAAAUAACAGCCCAAGACUUAUUAACUUCCUACUAACAUAGCAAAGCCAACC